CCUACGGGGGGCAGCAGUGGGGAAUAUUGGACAAUGGGGGGAACCCUGAUCCAGCCAUGCCGCGUGUGUGAAGAAGGCCCUCGGGUUGUAAAGCACUUUCAGUGAGGAAGAACGCCUGGUGGUUAAUACCCAUCAGGAAAGACAUCACUCACAGAAGAAGCACCGGCUAACUCCGUGCCAGCAGCCGCGGUAAUACGGAGGGUGCGAGCGUUAAUCGGAGUUACUGGGCGUAAAGCGCGCGUAGGUGGCUUGAUAAGCCGGUUGUGAAAGCCCCGGGCUCAACCUGGGAACGGCAUCCGGAACUGUCAAGCUAGAGUGCAGGAGAGGAAGGUAGAAUUCCCGGUGUAGCGGUGAAAUGCGUAGAGAUCGGGAGGAAUACCAGUGGCGAAGGCGGCCUUCUGGACUGACACUGACACUGAGGUGCGAAAGCGUGGGUAGCAAACAGGAUUAGAUACCCCAGUAGUC
rnacentral:rRNA from 1 species